GUAGUCCACGCCGUAAACGAUGGGAACUAGGUGUGGGAGGUGUCGACUCCUCCCGUGCCGUCGCUAACGCAUUAAGUUCCCCGCCUGGGGAGUACGGCCGCAAGGCUAAAACUCAAAGGAAUUGACGGGGCCCGCACAAGCAGCGGAGCAUGUGGUUUAAUUCGAUGCAACGCGAAGAACCUUACCUGGGCUUGACAUGUAACUGACCGCCCUGGAAACAGGGGUUUUCCUUCGGGACAGUUUCACAGGUGGUGCAUGGCUGUCGUCAGCUCGUGUCGUGAGAUGUUGGGUUAAG
rnacentral:rRNA from 1 species